rnacentral:rRNA from 1 species
AUUGAACGCUGGCGGCAGGCCUAACACAUGCAAGUCGAACGGUAACAGGAAGAAGCUUGCUUCUUUGCUGACGAGUGGCGGACGGGUGAGUAAUGUCUGGGAAACUGCCUGAUGGAGGGGGAUAACUACUGGAAACGGUAGCUAAUACCGCAUAACGUCGCAAGACCAAAAAGGGGGACCUUCGGGCCUCUUGCCAUCGGAUGUGCCCAGAUGGGAUUAGCUAGUAGGUGGGGUAACGGUUCACCUAGGCGACGAUCCCUAGCUGGUCUGAGAGGAUGACCAGCCACACUGGAACGGAGACACGGUCCAGACUCCUACGGGAGGCAGCAGUGGGGAAUAUUGCACAAUGGGCGCAAGCCUGAUGCAGCCAUGCCGCGUGUAUGAAGAAGGCCUUCGGGUUGUAAAGUACUUUCAGCGGGGAGGAAGGGAGUAAAGUUAAUACCUUUGCUCAUUGACGUUACCCGCAGAAGAAGCACCGGCUAACUCCGUG